AUUGAACGCUGGCGGCAGGCCUAACACAUGCAAGUCGAACGGUAACAGGAAGCAGCUUGCUGCUUUGCUGACGAGUGGCGGACGUGUGAGUAAUGUCUGGGAAACUGCCUGAUGGAGGGGGAUAACUACUGGAAACGGUAGCUAAUACCUCAUAACGUCGCAAGACCAAAGAGGGGGACCUUAGGGCCUCUUGCCAUCGGAUGUGCCCAGAUGGGUUUAGCUAGUAGGUGGGGUAACGGCUCACCUAGGCGACGAUCCCUAGCUGGUCUGAGAGGAUGACCAGCCACACUGGAACUGAGACACGGUCCAGACUCCUACGGGAGGCAGCAGUGGGGAAUAUUGCACAAUGGGCGCAAGCCUGAUGCAGCCAUGCCGCGUGUAUGAAGAAGGCCUUCGGGUUGUAAAGUACUUUCGGCGGGGAGGAAGGGAGUAAAGUUAAUACCUUUGCUCAUUGACGUUACCCGCAGAAGAAGCACCGGCUAACUCCGUG
rnacentral:rRNA from 1 species